rnacentral:pre_miRNA from 14 species
UUUGUCACCUGUGAAAAUGGGCUCAAGGUGAGGGGUGCUAUCUGUGAUUGAGGGACAUGGUCAAUGGAAUUGUCUCACACAGAAAUCGCACCCGUCACCUUGGCCUGCUGAGCACCACCCCGAACCA